rnacentral:tRNA from 14 species
AAAAUCCGUCGACUUUAGAAAUCGUGAGGGUU